rnacentral:lncRNA from 1 species
UAAACAGAAUGUGUCAUGGAAAUACUGAAAGAUUCUCUUUACAAUAAUUCAUAAACUGGUAAAAUUCAUUCUAAGAAAACUUGGCAAAUAAAACUUUGGACUGGAAUUGGCAUUUCUUUCUCUGCUUUUCGUUCCCACCAUUUCUUUCUUUUAUACUACAGUAUUCAUAUUUUAAAAUGUUUUAAAUUAUUUCAGAACAUUAAGAUAGCAGUUACAUUUUUUAAUAGUUAUUUUAAAAUGACUCUUUAAAAUAAAGUUUUAGAGAAACUAUAUUAUGGAUAGGGCUGAUUUACAUUUUCAA